GACCGCGUAGCUCAGUUGGCAGAGCAUUGGGCUAGUAUUCCAUAGGUCGUAGGUUCGAUUCCCACCGUGGUCA
rnacentral:tRNA from 1 species